rnacentral:rRNA from 1 species
GUUAAGCGACUAAGCGUACACGGUGGAUGCCCUGGCAGUCAGAGGCGAUGAAGGACGUGCUAAUCUGCGAUAAGCGUCGGUAAGGUGAUAUGAACCGUUAUAACCGGCGAUUUCCGAAUGGGGAAACCCAGUGUGUUUCGACACACUAUCAUUAACUGAAUCCAUAGGUUAAUGAGGCGAACCGGGGGAACUGAAACAUCUAAGUACCCCGAGGAAAAGAAAUCAACCGAGAUUCCCCCAGUAGCGGCGAGCGAACGGGGAGCAGCCCAGAGCCUGAAUCAGUGUGUGUGUUAGUGGAAGCGUCUGGAAAGGCGCGCGAUACAGGGUGACAGCCCCGUACACAAAAAUGCACAUGCUGUGAGCUCGAUGAGUAGGGCGGGACACGUGGUAUCCUGUCUGAAUAUGGGGGGACCAUCCUCCAAGGCUAAAUACUCCUGACUGACCGAUAGUGAACCAGUACCGUGAGGGAAAGGCGAAAAGAACCCCGGCGAGGGGAGUGAAAAAGAACCUGAAACCGUGUACGUACAAGCAGUGGGAGCACGCUUAGGCGUGUGACUGCGUACCUUUUGUAUAAUGGGUCAGCGACUUAUAUUCUGUAGCAAGGUUAACCGAAUAGGGGAGCCGAAGGGAAACCGAGUCUUAACUGGGCGUUAAGUUGCAGGGUAUAGACCCGAAACCCGGUGAUCUAGCCAUGGGCAGGUUGAAGGUUGGGUAACACUAACUGGAGGACCGAACCGACUAAUGUUGAAAAAUUAGCGGAUGACUUGUGGCUGGGGGUGAAAGGCCAAUCAAACCGGGAGAUAGCUGGUUCUCCCCGAAAGCUAUUUAGGUAGCGCCUCGUGAAUUCAUCUCCGGGGGUAGAGCACUGUUUCGGCAAGGGGGUCAUCCCGACUUACCAACCCGAUGCAAACUGCGAAUACCGGAGAAUGUUAUCACGGGAGACACACGGCGGGUGCUAACGUCCGUCGUGAAGAGGGAAACAACCCAGACCGCCAGCUAAGGUCCCAAAGUCAUGGUUAAGUGGGAAACGAUGUGGGAAGGCCCAGACAGCCAGGAUGUUGGCUUAGAAGCAGCCAUCAUUUAAAGAAAGCGUAAUAGCUCACUGGUCGAGUCGGCCUGCGCGGAAGAUGUAACGGGGCUAAACCAUGCACCGAAGCUGCGGCAGCGACGCUUAUGCGUUGUUGGGUAGGGGAGCGUUCUGUAAGCCUGUGAAGGUGUGCUGUGAGGCAUGCUGGAGGUAUCAGAAGUGCGAAUGCUGACAUAAGUAACGAUAAAGCGGGUGAAAAGCCCGCUCGCCGGAAGACCAAGGGUUCCUGUCCAACGUUAAUCGGGGCAGGGUGAGUCGACCCCUAAGGCGAGGCCGAAAGGCGUAGUCGAUGGGAAACAGGUUAAUAUUCCUGUACUUGGUGUUACUGCGAAGGGGGGACGGAGAAGGCUAUGUUGGCCGGGCGACGGUUGUCCCGGUUUAAGCGUGUAGGCUGGUUUUCCAGGCAAAUCCGGAAAAUCAAGGCUGAGGCGUGAUGACGAGGCACUACGGUGCUGAAGCAACAAAUGCCCUGCUUCCAGGAAAAGCCUCUAAGCAUCAGGUAACAUCAAAUCGUACCCCAAACCGACACAGGUGGUCAGGUAGAGAAUACCAAGGCGCUUGAGAGAACUCGGGUGAAGGAACUAGGCAAAAUGGUGCCGUAACUUCGGGAGAAGGCACGCUGAUACGUAGGUGAAGUCCCUCGCGGAUGGAGCUGAAAUCAGUCGAAGAUACCAGCUGGCUGCAACUGUUUAUUAAAAACACAGCACUGUGCAAACACGAAAGUGGACGUAUACGGUGUGACGCCUGCCCGGUGCCGGAAGGUUAAUUGAUGGGGUCAGCGCAAGCGAAGCUCUUGAUCGAAGCCCCGGUAAACGGCGGCCGUAACUAUAACGGUCCUAAGGUAGCGAAAUUCCUUGUCGGGUAAGUUCCGACCUGCACGAAUGGCGUAAUGAUGGCCAGGCUGUCUCCACCCGAGACUCAGUGAAAUUGAACUCGCUGUGAAGAUGCAGUGUACCCGCGGCAAGACGGAAAGACCCCGUGAACCUUUACUAUAGCUUGACACUGAACAUUGAGCCUUGAUGUGUAGGAUAGGUGGGAGGCUUUGAAGUGUGGACGCCAGUCUGCAUGGAGCCGACCUUGAAAUACCACCCUUUAAUGUUUGAUGUUCUAACGUUGACCCGUGAUCCGGGUUGCGGACAGUGUCUGGUGGGUAGUUUGACUGGGGCGGUCUCCUCCUAAAGAGUAACGGAGGAGCACGAAGGUUGGCUAAUCCUGGUCGGACAUCAGGAGGUUAGUGCAAUGGCAUAAGCCAGCUUGACUGCGAGCGUGACGGCGCGAGCAGGUGCGAAAGCAGGUCAUAGUGAUCCGGUGGUUCUGAAUGGAAGGGCCAUCGCUCAACGGAUAAAAGGUACUCCGGGGAUAACAGGCUGAUACCGCCCAAGAGUUCAUAUCGACGGCGGUGUUUGGCACCUCGAUGUCGGCUCAUCACAUCCUGGGGCUGAAGUAGGUCCCAAGGGUAUGGCUGUUCGCCAUUUAAAGUGGUACGCGAGCUGGGUUUAGAACGUCGUGAGACAGUUCGGUCCCUA